CCUCCUUACUAAUACGAUACCGGUGACCUUGUGUUAAGUAGUGUUCACACAAAUUGUUUUGUUGUAAUAAGUUUAAGUUCGGCGAGUGUUAAUGCAUGACGUUAGUUAUGCAUUAGCGUUUGCUAAAAUGUUCUUUAACAAUAUGGAAAGCUGAUAAAAAAAGUAUCAAAACUGAGAAGAGUAUUUUAAGUACUUUACUCUAUCUGAUUACUGGCGAAAAUAAAAUUUAGCGAAGUUAUUUACCACAAUCUGAAGGUUAUUUUGGGUUGUAUGGUUAAGUGACUAAGCGUAUACGGUGGAUGCCUAGGCAGUUAAAGGCGAUGAAGGACGUGUAAGUCUGCGAAAAGCUGUGGUGAGUUGACAAAACGCAUUUGAGCCACAGAUUUCCGAAUGGGA
rnacentral:misc_RNA from 1 species